rnacentral:tRNA from 1 species
GCCCCGUUAGUGCAGUGGUCAAGCACCCGGCCCUUUCGAGGCCGUAACCCGGGUUCGAAUCCCGGACGGGGCA